GUAGGGAAUCUUCGGCAAUGGACGAAAGUCUGACCGAGCAACGCCGCGUGAGUGAAGAAGGUUUUCGGAUCGUAAAACUCUGUUGGUAGAGAAGAACGUUGGUGAGAGUGGAAAGCUCAUCAAGUGACGGUAACUACCCAGAAAGGGACGGCUAACUACGUGCCAGCAGCCGCGGUAAUACGUAGGUCCCGAGCGUUGUCCGGAGUUAUUGGGCGUAAAGCGAGCGCAGGUGGUUUAUUAAGUCUGGUGUAAAAGGCAGUGGCUCAACCAUUGUAUGCAUUGGAAACUGGUAGACUUGAGUGCAGGAGAGGAGAGUGGAAUUCCAUGUGUAGCGGUGAAAUGCCUAGAUAUAUGGAGGAACACCGGUGGCGAAAGCGGCUCUCUGGCCUGUAACUGACACUGAGGCUCGAAAGCGUGGGGAGCAAACAGGAUUAGAUACCCCUGUAGUCC
rnacentral:rRNA from 1 species